GUGAAAACAUCAGAUUUCAGGUUUUCCUUCUUCUGUGCCAGGAUUCCAGACUCACCCAUUCAGAUUUGACCCUGGGGCUCCCUUGGAUGCAGGAGGAUGCCCAGGAGACCCUCAACAUCCCCCCUCAUGGGAGCGCCCUGACUUCACCCCGCGCCACUGAGAUGCCCUCAGCUGAGGAGGAGGAGAGCAACGUUUCUGUUGAGGAGGAAGGCUUUGAGCUGUUGAACUCCACCUACAAUAAAAUCACCGGCCCUGGCAGGCCUGGGCUCAGCAGGGCCAACCCAUGGGCUCCUGGUCGCUCCGGUGAGUACAGAGUCAUGGAAUGGUUUGUGUUGGAAACGACCUUAAAGCUCCUCCAGCUCCAACCCCUGCCACGGGCAGGGACCCCUUCCACUGGAGCAGCUGCUCCAAGCCCCUGUGUCCAACCUGGCCUUGAACACUGCCAGGGAUGGGGCAGCCACAGCUUCUCUGGGCACCCUGUGCCAGCGCCUCAGCACCCUCACAGGGAAGAGCUUCUGCCUUAUCUCCAACCUGAACUUCCCCUCUUUCAGUCUGAACCCAUCACCCCUUGUCCUAUCACUACAGUCCCUGAUGAAGAGCCCUCUCCAGCAUCCUUGUAGCCCCUUUCAGACACUGGAAGCUGCUCUGAGGUCUCCAUGCAGCUUCUCCUCUCUAGGCUGAACAGCCCCAAUGUUCUCAGCCUGUCUCCCACCACGGUGCCCGGUACCUGACGGUGCUUUUAUUCACCCAGGCUCCUCCAUCAAGGCACCGAGAGCAGCCAAGAAGGAGCGAGCCCCCAACCCCUGGGAGGAGAACGUCACCACGGAGAAGCAGAUGGGUGAUGUGGGCACCCGGCAGCAGCUCCUGCCCGGCAAACCCGGCGAUGCCAUCACUGACCUGGACGUGCCUUCCACCUUCACCAAGGUCUCCCCAUUACCACGUCAGGGAGCUGCCCCCAAAGCAAAGGUGCCCAAAGGUCCCUUUGGAUCAGGGUCAGCAGAAGGUCUCCUGCAGUAUCCUCCAUCAGCAGCCAGCCCUGUUCUGCCAGGGCUUGUGGACGGCACUGCCCACCCUGUGUCACCGGAGGCACAUGGGCAGCAGGGUCACAUCAAGCCGGGACCACCAGGGCUGCCAGGACCACCAGGGCUGCCGGGCUGUCCUGGGAGGCGUGGACUGGUGGGACCCAAAGGAGACAAAGGGUACCCUGGUGCCGUGGGGCGCACAGGCCUCCCGGGUGACCCGGGACCCAUGGGCAUCCCUGGUGUUCCCACCAUUGUGCUCUGGAGGAACUCCAGGGAAGACUGGCAGAGCUUCACGCAAUCAUCAUUUUACCAGCUCCUGCAUGCUGGAUGGCCGGUGAGUAUCACUGCCAAGUACCUUACCCCAUGGUUUGCGUUUUC
rnacentral:lncRNA from 14 species